rnacentral:lncRNA from 1 species
GGUGCUUUUAAACAUGCGAACAGAUACCCGACAGCGGAGGUUUAUGUGUGAAAGGAGGGUUUUCACGGUUCACGAAGAGCUGAGCGAAUAUAUGGAGAGAAGGAGAGUGGAGCCCCUAAUUCACACCGCGUACACAGCUGGGCUCUAGCAGAACUCGGUGCCCAAGAGAAGCCGUGAUGUUGAGAAGACCAGGAUGCACGGAACGACCUUGAGUUGGGGAUGCGGCGUAAGGAAGAAGUACGUCUUAAACAAAGCUUCAAAAACACAGACCAUUAGGCAAAACGGGUGAAAUGGAUUAUAUCAAAAUCAAGAAUUUCUGUUAACACAUCACCAUAGACAAAGACACCAGAGGAUGGAAGAAGAUCACGGCAAAGUCCUGAAGGGCAUUCAUUUUAAGCUUUACAUAGAGAAUGUAAGAAAUCUGCUGACUGAAGCCAGAGGAAAAAAUAGACCUGAAUUUCUCCAGGGUUGGCAGACUGCUGAGACGAAGUGUGUUCCACCAGAGAAAGAUGACGGGGGCUGAGUCCGUGCUCCCGGCCAGCGAGCACCUCGCCCGAGCGCAGCUCCCCCAGUUUGCAGCAGAAGCCGCGCCCGCGCGCGGACCAGGACUGGCAAGGGCUCCCGGGCUGACACUCAGCAGGCACUGUGGGACGUGUGACCAAGUCAGGGGCAGAUGGUUUGUUACUUCAGUCUCUUAUUUGAAUUUUUACAGAUAUUUCAGAUCGGUGGCGUUGGGCCAUUUCUGUCACCGCGAAUUUAUUUUUUGCCCUCAGUCAUUUCUCCAGCUACCACGUACUAUUUUUAAAUGUUCAGUGUGGUUUCAUUUCAAAUUUUAUGGCUUCUGCGUGUCCCCCCACCCCCGUGUUUAAUAUUUAUAUCCAAACACAUGCAUAUAGACAGAGCCUGCAGUGCAGAAUGUUUUUUAAAAGCCUGAAAAUAAAAUAAUCUAUAGAGAUAUACAAGACCCAAAUUCUUAAACUUAGCUUUAAUUGGGGUGAGGGGUGAGAGGUAAGCAGAGGCC